rnacentral:rRNA from 1 species
GACGAACGCUGGCGGCGUGCCUAAUACAUGCAAGUCGAGCGAAUGACGAGAAGCUUGCUUCUCUGAUUUAGCGGCGGACGGGUGAGUAACACGUGGGCAACCUGCCCUACAGAUCGGGAUAACUCAGGGAAACCUGGGCUAAUACCGGAUAAUCCUUCGAAUCACAUGUUUUGAAGUUGAAAGGCGCUUCGGCGUCACUGUAGGAUGGGCCCGCGGUGCAUUAGCUAGUUGGUGGGGUAACGGCCUACCAAGGCAACGAUGCAUAGCCGACCUGAGAGGGUGAUCGGCCACAUUGGGACUGAGACACGGCCCAACUCCUACGGGAGGCAGCAGUAGGGAAUCUUCCACAAUGGACGAAAGUCUGAUGGAGCAACGCCGCGUGAGCGAUGAAGGUUUUCGGAUCGUAAAACUCUGUUGUAAGGGAAGAGCAAGUACGUUAGGAAAUGAACGUACCUUGACGGUACCUUAUUAGAAAGCCACGGCUAACUACGUGCCAGCCGCCGCGGUAA